rnacentral:rRNA from 1 species
CACGGGGGGAGCAAGCGUUGUUCGGAUUUACUGGGCGUAAAGAGCGCGCAGGCGGUCGUUCAAGUCGAGUGUGAAAGCCCCCGGCUCAACUGGGGAGGGUUAUUCGAUACUGAUCGACUCGAAGGCAGGAGAGGGAAGCGGAAUUCCCGGUGUAGUGGUGAAAUGCGUAGAUAUCGGGAGGAACACCAGUGGCGAAGGCGGCUUCCUGGCCUGUUCUUGACGCUGAGGCGCGAAAGCUAGGGGAGCAAACGGG